rnacentral:tRNA from 1 species
GCCUGGGUGGCUCAGUUGGUUAAGCAUCUGACUUCGGCUCAGGUCAUGAUCUCACGGUUUGUGAGUUCAAGCCCCGCGUCGGGCU